AGAAAACUUUGUAAUAUAUUUUCCUGUGUGUCUAGGUGUACGAGCAAUGCUGCAUUCAUUGGCAUCGCAGUAUACUGCAUGCACCAGAGUAUAACUGAAAAUAUUAUUGACGUUGGUAUCUGAAGCAUCGCAAUCUUGGAGUUGGCAAAAAUCUUCAUCAAGACUCUGGCUAGAGGGGAGCAGUGCAAUUAAGAGCACUGGUCUCAUGCCUGAUCAUCGAUAACACUGGAUCUUCGUUAGUGUGUAACUUUCAGAUGCAGUGUUUCUAAGAUGCAGGUUAUACGUGAAAAAAUUGAACAUAAUGGCAAGCAGUUGCAGCAAGGGAUAAUAUUUUCAAGAGGAUUCUAUGGAACAAAAUAGAAGAUUUUCAUUAAAAAGUCCAGCCAAGUUUUGAUUUAGUAGAAGGGCAUAAUUUAUAAAAUUGAUUGUUUAAAGUAUAGCCUUAGUUUAGCGGGACGUGUCAGGCUUCUCAGAGCCUUUCUUCAAUCUGAGUUAUUUUCAUUAUUAUUAGUUUAGGUUUUCUAGUUCAGUACAAUAUACUCAAAUUUUGAAAGUAAAUUGUGCUGAUUCAAUUUAAAAAAUAUCAAUUAUCUGUUGUCAAAUUUCAUGCGCUUAUUCCGAGUUUAUACAAUUACGUUUAUGUUGUCUUAUUUAUAUACAUGUACGGGAUAAUGUUCAGAAUUUAACUAUAAGCUUAUAAUGAUAAGGAGAUAUCCCUACAAAACUUGGGCCUGUGGGCGCGCGUAUGUGUAUACAUAAUAGAAGAUUAUAUAGUUAGCUUCAAUAUUACAUGUGUAUACGUGUAAUAUUGAUGCUAACUAAAUAAUCUUCUAUUUAGACCUCCGAAUCUCCCAGAAAAAUUGUGCAAUGCGGUCGAUUUCGCCAACACUUUUAUUAUGGCCAUUUUUUAGAAAUUCCGUAAUUAAUGUUUUCCUGUGUUAAGGGUGCAGCCUUGAAAUAAAAAUUGUGUGAAA